AUUGAACGCUAGCGGGAUGCCUUACACAUGCAAGUCGAACGGAGUGGCGAACGGGUGAGUAAUGUAUCGGAAAGUGCCCAGUAGCGGGGGACAACUACGCGAAAGCGUAGCUAAUACCGCAUACUAUUGGAGCGGCCGAUAGCGGAGUUGCUGGCUGGGGGGGUAACGGAUCAAAAAGGCGACGAUCCGUAGCUGGUUUGAGAGGACGACCAGCCACACUGGGACGGAGACACGGCCCAGACUCCUACGUGAGGCAGCAGUGGGGAAUUUUGGACAAUGGGGGAAACCCUGAUCCAGCCAUCCCGCGUGUGCGAUGAAGGCCUUCGGGUUGUAGAGCACUUUUGGCAUGAAAGCGGUACCUGCAGAAUAAGCACCGGCUAACUACGUGCCAGCAGCCGCGGUAAUUC
rnacentral:rRNA from 1 species